GGGGUUGUGGCCUAGCCCGGUAUGGCGACGGGCUCCAGCGGUCUUUGCGUUCUUUCGUGCUCGCAGAUGAUGAACAAUGGGUCUACUGAGAAACAUUCUAUGAUGACCCGUUGGAGCACUGAUGCGCAUGUCGGAGAGACCCGUCGAUCGUGAGUUCAAAUCUCACCAACCCCA
rnacentral:tRNA from 1 species